CUUGUGGCGGUGGAUGUAAAUAAAAGGUGGAGCGACUGCAAAGAGCCGCUUCACUGGGUAAAAUCAGGAUGUGCCGCGGAACCCGCUCCUCAGUCGGUCAACUUUGGAAGCGCGGGCAACGCAGGUGCUAUCGUCUUAAAGGGUCGGCUGCAACCGCCC
rnacentral:sRNA from 1 species